ACGGGGUGCAGCAGGCGCGAAAACUCCGCAAUGCACGAAAGUGUGACGGGGCCACCCCGAGUGCUCUCCGCUGAGGAAAGCUUUUCCUUGGUAUAACUAGCCAGGGGAAUAAGGAGAGGGCAAGUCUGGUGUCAGCCGCCGCGGUAAUACCAGCUCUCCGAGUGGUGUGGAUGUUUAUUUGGCCUAAAGCGUCCGUAGCCGGCCGGGUAAGUUUCCCGUUAAAUCCAACGUCUCAAGCGUUGGACCGCGGGAAAUACUGCCUGGCUAGAGAGUGGGAGAGGUAAGCGGUAUUCUGGGGGUAGGGGCGAAAUCCUUUGAUCCCCGGAGGACCACCAGUGGCGAAGGCUGCUUACUAGAACACGUCUGACGGUCAGGGACGAAAGCUGGGGUAGCGAACCGGAUUAGAUACCCGGGUAGUCCCAGCUGUAAACGAUGCAUGCUAGGUGUUGGGUUGGCCACGAGCCACCCCAGUGCCGCAGGGAAGCCGUUAAGCAUGCCGCCUGGGAAGUACGAUCGCAAGAUUGGAACUUAAAGGAAUUGGCGGGGGAGCAC
rnacentral:rRNA from 1 species